rnacentral:rRNA from 1 species
AUUGAACGCUGGCGGCAGGCCUAACACAUGCAAGUCGAGCGAGCGGCGGACGGGUGAGUAAUGUCUGGGAAACUGCCUGAUGGAGAGGGAUAACUACUGGAAACGGUAGCUAAUACCGCAUACAAUCAGAUGAGCACAGAUGGGAUUAGCUGGUAGGUGGGGUAACGGCCCACCUAGGCGACGAUCCCUAGCGGGUCUGAGAGGAUGACCAGCCCCACUGGAACUGGUCCCCGGUCCAGACUCCUACGGGAGGCAGCAGUGGGGAAUAUUGCACAAUGGGCGCGAGCCUGAUGCAGCCAUGCCGCGUGUGUGAAGAAGGCCUUCGGGUUUUAAAGCUCUUUCAGCGGGGAGGCGUUACCCGCAGAAGAAGCACCGGCUAACUCCGUGCCAGUCGCCGCGGUAAUAC